rnacentral:rRNA from 1 species
UACGUAAGGGGCAAGCGUUGUCCGGAUUUAUUGGGCGUAAAGAGCGUGUAGGCGGCCAUGCAGGUCAGCUGUGAAAACUCGAGGCUCAACCUCGAGACGUCGGUUGAAACCGUAUGGCUAGAGUCCGGAAGAGGAGAGUGGAAUUCCCGGUGUAGCGGUGAAAUGCGCAGAUAUCGGGAAGAACACCCGUGGCGAAGGCGGCUCUCUGGGACGGUACUGACGCUGAGACGCGAAAGCGUGGGGAGCGAACAGG